GGUCUGGUGGUGUAGUUGGUUAUCACGUCAGUCUAACAGCUCGAGGCCGUCUCAUCUCACGAUGUCCUCACUGCACACUGAAGGUCUCCGGUUCAAGUCCGGGCUAGAUCA